GACGAACGCUGGCGGCGUGCUUAACACAUGCAAGUCGAACGGAAAGGCCCUGCUUUUGUGGGGUGCUCGAGUGGUGAACGGGUGAGUAACACGUGAGUAACCUGCCCUUGACUUUGGGAUAACUUCAGGAAACUGGGGCUAAUACCGGAUAGGAUCUCCUGCUGCAUGGUGGGGGUGGGAAAGUUUCGGCGGUUGGGGAUGGACUCGCGGCUUAUCAGCUUGUUGGUGGGGUAGUGGCUUACCAAGGCUUUGACGGGUAGCCGGCCUGAGAGGGUGACCGGCCACAUUGGGACUGGGAUACGGCCAAGACUCAUACGGGAGGCAGCAGUGGGGAAUAUUGCACAAUGGGCGGAAGCCUGAUGCAGCAACGCCGCGUGCGGGAUGACGGCCUUCGGGUUGUAAACCGCUUUCGCCUGUGACGAAGCGUGAGUGACGGUAAUGGGGAAAGAAGCACCGGCUAACUACGU
rnacentral:rRNA from 1 species